AAUACCUUCGAUUCUCUGUUUCCACGCGAUCGAUCCAAAGAAGCAUCCUUUAACUCGAUACCCGAUAAGACAACGAGGUGAAACUCGAUGAUAUCACUAUCCAACACCUUGCGACAAAAUGAAACGCGUCAAGGCCAUUCUCGGGUAUUUGUAUUAUUAUUUUUAACGUCGUUUUCCCCGUUCUAAUUUUAUUUCCUUUUCUUUCAGAUAAUAUCCAGAUAAUAUUAUCCGGAGGAUUCGUGCGGAUUCGUAAUUCGUAUCGGUCAAUGAUGGUGGUAUAAAGGUGAAACUAUUAAAAAAAAGUCAAAAAUACACGCACGUGUGAAAUACAAAUCGUCCCCCAGAGGAUCAGAAAUUUUGUAAUUUGUACAUGGCAAUGGAUUGUAAAAAAAAAAAAAAGUAAAAAAGCGCGUACAGAGAUACGUAUUGGCCCGCAGAGGAUCAGAAAUAUUUAUUGAGACGCAUGUGUCCCAUUGAAAGCAUCGAAAUGGUUAAGGUCAAUGAUCCUAGAAUAACACCAUCGAUCUCUCAUACGAUCUCUCUCCCUCUCUAUGCACUUCACUUUCUUCCCGAUUAUCACUUCAACUCGACGAAUCUUUUUCUUUUCUUUUUAAUAUCAAUCGCUCCUUUGACCACUAUAAUUUGUAAUAUUGCCGUAUCAUUAGACCGCGAAUUAUUGGUUUAUGCACUUUUUAAUGCAUAUAUAUACUUUUUUGCUUUGGAUAUUUUUCACACACAAAAUUUUUUCCACUUGAACACUUGAGAAGAGUAUAAACUGCACGGUGAACUUUCCUAGUCGCUAUCCUCUCCUUACCAUUUCACACAUUUUAACACACGAUCGAAGCAUCGUUCACCACCUUCACGCGCGAUUAACCACGCACCGUGUUUCAUUAUUCAUCGAAAUCCCGGUCAACAUCGAUCGAGAAUCGCGACGAGGAACAAUACAAAGUGGGUCCCCCUCGUCGAAUAUUUUCGUUCCUGAUGCGAAAACGAAAAAAGAGAAAGAGAGAGAAAGAGGAAAGGAAAAGGAAAACGAAGCGUACCACGAAGCAAUCGUAACACCGGUCGAUUCUGUUACCACGACGAGACUGCGUGUGCAAGCGGUCGACAAACAGCCUUCGUCUCGUACUUUCUACCUUCGAGGCGAUCGAAGGCUCACGUUGCCGGAGACUCUCGCCUCGUCAUCGGACAAGUAAUGAAAAAAAUCCUCGUGGUAAUCAACGCGUCAAGGAGAAGCGACGAA